CCUACGGGUGGCAGCAGUGAGGAAUAUUGGUCAAUGGGCGCUAGCCUGAACCAGCCAAGUAGCGUGAAGGAUGACUGCCCUACGGGUUGUAACCUUCUUUUAUAUAGGAAUAAAGUGCAGCAUGUAUACCUUUUUGUAUGUACUUUAUGAAUAAGGAUCGGCUAACUCCGUGCCAGCAGCCGCGGUAAUACGGAGGAUCCGAGCGUUAUCCGGAUUUAUUGGGUUUAAAGGGAGCGUAGAUGGGUUGUUAAGUCAGUUGUGAAAGUUUGCGGCUCAACCGUAAAAUUGCAGUUGAUACUGGCAGUCUUGAGUACAGUUGAGGUAGGCGGAAUUCGUGGUGUAGCGGUGAAAUGCUUAGAUAUCACGAAGAACUCCGAUUGCGAAGGCAGCUUACUAAACUGCAACUGACACUGAUGCUCGAAAGUGUGGGUAUCAAACAGGAUUAGAUACCCGAGUAGUC
rnacentral:rRNA from 1 species